AUUUCUCUUUAGUCCUGUCUGGUUGGACACUAGUCCACGAUUCGUAGUCUCCUCUCAAAAUACAAUCACCUCCAUCUCCUCCUCUCUUCAAUUCAUUCUUGGAUGUCACCCUCACUUCCUGCUUCACCAAGAAAAAAAAAACUAAGAGAAAGGAACUGACUCAACUUGCAUAGUUCUCCUUUCUCUGCUGCCUCCUCAGGGACUCCCUCCCUCAAUUAUCCCCCAGAUCUCAGGUUCCUCAAUCUUGUGCCUUUUCAGACUACCUACCUAGAAAAGAACGUGAACAGACAUUUCUCAAAAGAAGACAGACAAGUGGCCAAGAAACAUAUGAAAAAAUGUUGAACCUCACUAAUCAGCAGAGAAAUGUGACUCAAAACCGCAGUGAGACACCAUCUCAUACCAGUCAGAAUGGCCAUCAUUAAAACAUCAAAAAAUAAUAAAUUUUGGCUAGGUUGCAGAGAAACGGGAACUCUUAUACACUGUUGGUGGGAAUGUAGAUUAGUUUAGUCACUGUGGACACCAGUUUGGAUAUUUCUCAAUUCUCUUGCUGGCUGUAUACCCAAAGGAAAAUAAAUUGUUCUAUCAAAGACACAUGAACACGAAUGUUUAUUGCAGCGCUAUUCACAAUGGCAAAGACAUUGAAUCAAUCUAUGUGCUCAUCAAUGGCAAAUUGGAUUUAAAAAAAAGUGGUACAUAUACAUCAUGGAAUACUAUGCAGCCAUAAAAAAACCCAAAAUGAUGUCCUUUGCAGCAACAUGGUUGCAGCUGGAGGCCAUUAUCCUAAGUGAAUUAAUGCAGAAACAGAAAACCUAAUACUGCAUUUUCUCGCUCAUAAGUAGGAGCUAAACAUUGGGUACACAUGGACAUAAAAAUGGAAAUGGUAGACACUGGGGACUCCAAGGGAGAGGUAGGUGGGAGAAGGGGAAGGGUUGAAAAACUACCUAUUAGGUUUUUUUGUUUGUUGGUUGGUUUCUUGUUUUUUGAGACAGUCUCACUUUGUCUCCCAGGCUGGAGUGCAGUGGUGCAGUCUCGGCUUACUGCAACCUCCACCUCAGGAGUUCCAGUGAUUCUCCUGCCUCAGCCUCCUGAGUAGCUGGGAUUACAGGUGCAUGCCACCAUGCUUGGCUAAUUUUUUGUAUUUUUAGUAGAGACGGGGUUUCACCUGGUUGGCCAGAUUGGUCUUGAGCUCCUGACCUCAAGUGAUCUGCCCGCCUUGGCCUCCCACAGUGCUGGGAUUACAGGAGUGAGCCACCGCGCCUGGCCCUUAUUAGGUAUUAUGUCCACUAUUUGGGUGACGGGAUCAGUAGAAACCCAAAGCUCCGCAUGGGUGCAAUAUACCCUUGUAGGAAACCUGCACAUGUGGCCCUUGAAUCUAAAAUUAAAAAUAGGAAAAGGACUACCGAUCUAAAAACUAGGCUCUUUUACUAACUCCAGGAUAUUUGCUGGUAAACCUUUGUGUGCAGCUCUCUGAAACAGCUCCAGAAUUCUUGACUCUAGGAAGAAAAUGGUACAUAGCAAGUUAAUGUAGUAGAAUACUUACUGCAGUUGAAAUCAGAGGAUCUGGAUUUAUUUCUCUAUUAUUUUCUGCUUUGUGACCAGGGGCAAGUUUAGUCAUCUCUCUUAGACUCAGGUUUUAUCAUUAAAAAAAUGUGAUAAGCUGGUUUUACUUAUGCCAUAAAGUUGUUGUGAGAUUAAAAAUCAAAUAAAAAUGUUUUUCAGCUUUGAAAACAGCCCCGCAGCAUCAUAAUGCAAGCAUUAUUAUUAAAAUCUGGGAAUGACGGUGCUAGGACAUUGGGUAAGAGCCAGGACAUCUGGAUGGUUAUGAGCCUAGAGGAGUCAUUUAACCUUCUGAUACUUCAGGGUUUCCAGUAGCUAAAUAGUGAUAUUAUUAACAUCAUCUGCCUCACAGGGUUUUAGGAUAUUUACUAUCCCAAAUAAAGCUGCCUUGGGACAUUUGACUUUUUUUUCUCAUUGUUGAGGUCUUAGCUAGUGAUAUAAUAAGAAGUGAGGGAUCCACAAAUAAAUUAGGUCAGAAAUUACCUUAUUAUUGUAAAAUACAGGAAUCUGGAUAUUUCUUGCAAUCCUGUUUAUUUUCUCCUCUGGAGCUGGAGAAAGGAGGCAUUUGGCAGAUAUUUCCUUUUGUCUGAAUCUGGCUUUCUCUCCAUUUCAUUUGGCACUUUCUCUACUUACGAAAGCCAUGGGUAAUUAACUUCCAUCUACUAAGUCACUGAGGUCCUCUGCACUACUUCCUCAAGAAUUAAUUUCUAAAAUGAACUGCCAGCUAGGUUUUCCUGCACUUAAGCGGUAAACUCCUGCAAGCUACCUGCCAAGAGAACAUGGUAUAAGGGGGUAUUGCACACACACACACAAUGUGUAUAGCACCAAAAAUGGGCUGGUUAACAUAAAAGGUGGGGUGGCACAGCCAUUUUAGAGCCCAACGCUGGAGCUGGACUUCGUGGAUUUGAACCCCAUCUUCUGAUUGCGUGACUUUGGGCAAGUUACCUGAUUUUCUCGUACAUCUAUUUUCUCUUCUAAAAAAUAGGAAUGAUGAGAGUACCAUUUACAUAAGUUUGUUGUAAAGAUCAAAUCACAUUAUAGACAAAAUGCUUAGAACAGUACCUGGCACAUGGUAAGAUUAUAUGGGGUUUUCCUAUCCUGGCCAUCAGACUAGAGAUCCAUGUUUGGAAACUCAGAUCCCUCCAGGAGCCAGAGAGGUGAUAAUAGCAGAUGUGGGUACUCUGGAAAUUGCAGUAACCAGAGACUGCAGAUCCCAUCCAGAGCAGGCAGUUGAUACUCUGCUCCACUCCAUUAUUACCAAGGUGAGAAUGUGGGCCAACUGUGUCAGAGGAUUCAAUUACUUAAGCUAAGCUAGAGGCUGGCUGCAGUGGCUCACACCUGUAAUCCCAGCACUUUGGGAGGCCAAGGCAGGUGGGUCCCUUGAGCCCAGGAGUUCAAGAUCAGCCUUGGUGUCAGAGCAAGACCCCCUCUCGAAAGAAGAAAGAAGGAAGGAAAGAAAGAAAGAAAGAAAGAAAGAAAGAAAGAAAGAAAGAAAGAAAGAAAGAAAGAAAGAAAGAGGGAAGGAAGGAAGGAAGGAAAGAAAGAAAGAGAGAAAGAGAGAGAGAGAAAGAAAGAGAGAGAGACGAACUAGAAAUUUUAUUUUCACUGUAAUUUCAAAUAUUAAGUAAUUUAAAAACCUUUAACACUGUACUUACACCAAACAAGACAUAGCCAAGGGCUGAAUUCAGCCUACAAGCCUCUGGUUUACAAUAUUUGCAUUAGAAACGCCUAGAGUAGAUGGGCAUCUAUAUAACUCAGCUUUGUAAUUUCAUGUACUGUUUCCCAACCGCUGGGUUCCUAAUCUUGGAAAAAUCUGCUUGAGCCAGGACUGCACCUGCAUCUUGAAUUGAAUAAACUGGUACUGGAAAGAGGAGCAUGAGCACCUGCUGUGUGCCAGCUUGUGCCAACAACUGAAAAAUGUGAUCUUACUACUGUCUCAUAAAGAGGUGCAAGGUGGGCACGCCCAUCCUGGUUUCAUAAAUGAGAUAACCCAGACUCAGAGAGAUUCAGCAACAUGCCCAAGUUUAUGUGGCCACAGUUGACAGAGCAGAGAUUCACAUUCAGAUCUGUCUGACACCAAAGCCCAUGUACUUGACCACUUCAUAAAAUGGCUUGUCAAUUCAGUUAAACAUAUGCAGAUAAUGUUAGCCACUGAUACAAUACAUACAUUCCAAAGUCUUCAUGGCUUAAUCCAGUUGUAGGUUAUUUCUCACUUACCCAACACCCAAAAGUAUGUAUCUGACCAGCAGGCAGCUUCUCGCCAAUCAUUCAGGAACCAUCUUCUAGCUCAGCUCUCUUUUACCGUGGUUGCCAACAGGAGAGUGUGGGGAAGAACAUGGAGUAUAUCACACCAGAGGGAUUUAUGGGUGGGGCUUGGGAGUGGUGCGUGUCACUUCCAAGCACAUGCCACGUCUCUGAGUCCAGACACAGACCACACAGGACAGGGCAAGGGAGGCUGAGAAAUGUCAUCAAGAUAUGACCCAGAAGGAAGAGAAAAC
rnacentral:lncRNA from 10 species